UUCAGUGUUUUAUAGAAGUGCUCACAUGUAAUCUAAACAAGAACUCUACAAGAGAGGUAUCCAGAGCCACAUUUUAUAGAUAAGGAAAUUGAGGCUCAGAGAGGACUAGAAAUUUGGCUAAGCUCCUGCAGCUGAGUUGGGGGCUGCAUCUGACAAGUGGCCGUGGUUUCAAGUCUCUGGAGUCCCAUUUUUUUCUCUUCCAUGGAGUUUGUUUGCUGCAGUUUGAGGAGCCGAGGCAUAUGAUAAAUACCAGGUGUCCUUAGAAGAAGAGGAGAUUGGGCCCCAGACACACAUGCACAGAAGAAAGACCAUGUGAAGACAGAGGGAGAAGUCAGAGAUCUACAAACCAAGGAAACAUCCUCAGAAUGAAACCAACCUUGCCAAUCCCUGAUCCUAGACCUCCAGCCUCCACAACGGCCUUUGGACUCAGAUGGAAUUAUACCACGGGGUUUCCUGGAUCUCCAGCAUGCAGAUGGUAGAUUGUGGAACUUCUCAGCCUCCAAAAUCGAGUGAGCCAAUUCCCAUCAUAAAUCCCCUCUCCUAUGUCUAUAUAUGUCCUAUUGCUUCUCCUUCUCUGGAGAAUGCUGACUAAUACAGACAUAAUACAGCAGUCUUUGGGGUUGAUGUAUGAGUAUGUGGAGGAAGAACUAGACAUGAAGCAGAGUAUGCUUUCUUUAACAUAACUUUUUCAUUAAAAUAGUUAUAUGUGCUUAGUACAAAAACUUGGAAAAUACAGAAAUGUAGUGAAAAAGGAAGAAGAAAAACUACCAUGCAUUAUUUUCUCUCCCUCCCUCCUCAA
rnacentral:lncRNA from 1 species